GUGUCAGCAGCCGCGGUAAUACAGAGGGUGCAAGCGUUGUUCGGAAUUACUGGGCGUAAAGCGCAUGUAGGCGGUUUAGUAAGUCGGUCGUGAAAUCCCUUGGCUUAACCAAGGAACUGCGAUCGAAACUGUUAGACUCGAGUGUCGGAGGGGAUGGCGGAAUUCCCGGUGUAGAGGUGAAAUUCGUAGAUAUCGGGAGGAACACCUGUGGCGAAGGCGGCCAUCUGGAAGAUUACUGACGCUGAGAUGCGAAAGCGUGGGGAGCAAACAGGAUUAGAAACCCGAGUAGUCC
rnacentral:rRNA from 1 species